rnacentral:sRNA from 1 species
ACCUUCGACCAAGGUUCGCGCUGAGCAUAGCGAGAUAACGACGCGCGGCGGCGGCCCGAGGGUGAGGAACAACGUGACAAGCAAUCCUUCCCCCACCACCU